GAACAGGAAAUAGCCCAGCACUGAAUCCCGUCGUUUUAACGGCGGCGGGAGAUGUGGUGUUCGGGAGGUUCCGCUUUCUCGUCGUCGUCCUUUCCUGUCCAAGUUCGUCUUGAACGGGGCCGUUUUCCCGUAGAGGGUGCCAGGCCCGUAGCGACGGAGGACGGCGGCGAGAGGGACUCUCCUCAGAGUCGGGUUGCUUGAGAGUGCAGCCCUAAGCGGGUGGUAAACUCCAUCUAAGGCUAAAUAUUACCGCGAGACCGAUAGCGAACAAGUACCGUAAGGGAAAGUUGA
rnacentral:rRNA from 1 species